GAUGAACGCUGGCGGCGUGCUUAACACAUGCAAGUCGAACGGUGAACGAGGGAGCUUGCUCCCUCCGGAUCAGUGGCGAACGGGUGAGUAACACGUGAGCAAUCUGCCCUGGACUCUGGGAUAAGCGUUGGAAACGACGUCUAAUACCGGAUACGAGGCGUGGGGGCAUCCCCAACGCCUGGAAAGAACUUCGGUCCAGGAGGAGCUCGCGGCCUAUCAGCUAGUUGGUGAGGUAACGGCUCACCAAGGCGACGACGGGUAGCCGGCCUGAGAGGGUGACCGGCCACACUGGGACUGAGACACGGCCCAGACUCCUACGGGAGGCAGCAGUGGGGAAUAUUGCACAAUGGGCGCAAGCCUGAUGCGGCAACGCCGCGUGAGGGACGACGGCCUUCGGGUUGUAAACCUCUUUUAGCAGGGAAGAAGCGAAAGUGACGGUACCUGCAGAAAAAGCACCGGCUAACUACGUGCCAGCAGCCGCAGUAACAC
rnacentral:rRNA from 1 species